rnacentral:rRNA from 1 species
GAUGAACGCUGGCUACAGGCUUAACACAUGCAAGUCGAGGGGAAACGGCAUUGAGUGCUUGCACUGAAUGGACGUCGACCGGCGCACGGGUGAGUAACGCGUAUCCAACCUUCCCGUUACUGCGGGAUAACCUGCCGAAAGGCAGACUAAUACCGCAUGUUCUUCGAUGACGGCAUCAGAUUCGAAGCAAAGAUCCGUCGGUAACGGAGGGGGAUGCGUCUGAUUAGCUAGUUGGCGGGGCGACGGCCCACCAAGGCGACGAUCAGUAGGGGUUCUGAGAGGAAGGUCCCCCACAUUGGAACUGAGACACGGUCCAAACUCCUACGGGAGGCAGCAGUGAGGAAUAUUGGUCAAUGGGCGGAAGCCUGAACCAGCCAAGUAGCGUGCAGGAUGACGGCCCUACGGGUUGUAAACUGCUUUUAUGCGGGGAUAAAGUGAGGGACGCGUCCCUUUUUGCAGGUACCGCAUGAAUAAGGACCGGCUAAUUCCGUGCCAGCAGCCGCGGUAAUACGGAAGGUCCGGGCGUUAUCCGGAUUUAUUGGGUUUAAAGGGAGCGUAGGCCGGGGAUUAAGUGUGUUGUGAAAUGUAGGCGCCCAACGUCUGACUUGCAGCGCAUACUGGUUCCCUUGAGUACGCGCAACGCCGGCGGAAUUCGUCGUGUAGCGGUGAAAUGCUUAGAUAUGACGAAGAACCCCGAUUGCGAAGGCAGCCGGCGGGAGCGCAACUGACGCUGAAGCUCGAAGGUGCGGGUAUCGAACAGG